GACACAGACAGGUUACUGAGCUCUGGGCACAUAUCUAGUGAGGUCUGUACAGUAAGUCACACUGAUGGCACCAGCAUUAUACAGGCUCAGAUAUUAAAGAAUGUAUUAAUUUUCUUGGACUCAUCUUAUGUUUUAAUUUCAGAACCCAAGAAGUCCCAGACCAACCUGAUCAUUAUUGUUGCUGUUGGAGUUUUUGUGCUUAUUGCUGCUGCUGCUGCUGGUGGUGGAUACUUUAUAUACAGGAAAAAGAAUCCUUAUACAAAGGCUCAAAAUAAGGAUAAUGAUUCCUCCCCAGCUUCAUCCACCACUGCCUGAGAG